ACAGGGUGGAGUGGUACAGUCCAGAGGUUAACGGGGUGAGUGGUACAGUCCAGAGGUUAACAGGGUGGAGUGGUACAGUCCAGAGGUUAACGGGUGGAGUGGU
rnacentral:lncRNA from 13 species